rnacentral:rRNA from 1 species
GGAAUAUUGCGCAAUGGGCGAAAGCCUGACGCAGCCACGCCGCGUGGAGGAAGACACCCCUAUGGGGCGUAAACUCCUUUUAUGUGAGAAGAAGGUCCCGGACGCCGGGCUUUGACGGUACCACAUGAAUAAGCACCGGCUAACUCCGUGCCCGCAGCCGCGGUAAUCCGGAGGGGGCAAGCGUUUUCCGGAUUCACUGGGUGUAAAGGUUGUGUAGGCGGAACAUGCAAGUCAGAGGUGAAAGCCUGCAGCUUAACUGUAGAAUUGCCUUUGAUACUGCUGUUCUUGAGUACUGGAGAGGCUACUAGAAUUCGUGGUGUAGCGGUGAAAUGCGUAGAUAUCACGAGGAAUACCAGAGGCGUAGGCGGGUAGCUGGACAGAUACUGACGCUGAGGCACGAAAGCGUGGGGAGCAAAC